rnacentral:rRNA from 1 species
AUUGAGCGCUGGCGGCAGGCCUAACACAUGCAAGUCGGACGGUAACAGGAAGCAGCUUGCUGCUUCGCUGACGAGUGGCGGACGGGUGAGUAAUGUCUGGGAAGCUGCCUGAUGGAGGGGGAUAACUACUGGAAACGGUAGCUAAUACCGCAUAAUGUCGCAAGACCAAAGAGGGGGACCUUCGGGCCUCUUGCCAUCGGAUGUGCCCAGAUGGGAUUAGCUUGUUGGUGGGGUAACGGCUCACCAAGGCGACGAUCCCUAGCUGGUCUGAGAGGAUGACCAGCCACACUGGAACUGAGACACGGUCCAGACUCCUACGGGAGGCAGCAGUGGGGAAUAUUGCACAAUGGGCGCAAGCCUGAUGCAGCCAGGCCGCGUGUAUGAAGAAGGCCUUCGGGUUGUAAAGUACUUUCAGCGGGGAGGAAGGGAGUAAAGUUAAUACCUUUGCUCAUUGACGUUACCCGCAGAAGAAGCACCGGCUAACUCCGUG